rnacentral:miRNA from 1 species
UGAGGUAGUUAAGAAUAUGUG